UCUCUUCAGUUUCUGCUUCCUGGUUCCUUGUCCUCUUGGUCCUCACCAACUGCAUCUGCCCUGCUGGGGCAAAUGUUCCAAAGCUUUUUAGCUCCAACGAUAAGUGCCUAGGGGCAUUCCACUCUGCCAGUAAGCUUCGGCUGGAAGGCACUCAACUCUUCUGCUCAAUGGGUCAGCACGCCUAGCUCAACCGUACUUGCAAGCAAAGAAGCCUCACAGCCCUCCAUCUUGGAUUAGUUCUAGUAGAGAGGCCCUAACAAUUAAGCAGACAGUCUCCUGAGCCUCCAGUCUCCUGAUCCUAAUUUACUACAUCCUUUCCCUUCAGGAACAGAGGGCCACUGGGAAACAGAUCCCUAAAAGUGCAGAUGAUGGAGAGUUUUUUUGUGGAGUGAGUGACCGCAUGAGACCUGGACUUUGAGAAGCUGAUGUCAGGUAUUGUUAGAAGUGGUGGAAAUGAAGUGAUAAGACAGAGGAGAUCCCUGUUCUCGUGGAGCUUGCAGUCUAGUCAGGAUAUCUGCUGUGGAAUCUGUUAUGGUGGGCCAGCCAUGAGAGGGUACCUUGUGGCCAUAUUCCUGAGUGCUGUCUUCCUCUACUAUGUGCUGCACUGUAUCUUAUGGGGAACAAAUGUCUAUUGGGUACCACCUGUGGAAAUGAAACGGAGGAAUAAGAUCCAGCCUUGUUUAUCAAAGCCAGCUUUUGCCUCUCUCUUGAGGUAUCAUCAGUUUCAUCCUUUUCUGUGUGCAUCGGACUUUAAAAAGAUUGCUUCCUUGUAUGGUAGCGAUAAGUUUGAUUUGCCCUAUGGGAUAAAAACAUCAGGGGAAUAUUUUCGAGUUGCUCUUUCAAAACUGCAGAGUUGUGAUCUCUUUGAUGAGUUUGACAAAGCAGAUAACUCUGGAGAACUGGGGACUGGUAGUCUUUCGCAGAAGAGUCUGAUGGAGCUGAGCUGGAUCAUUGCUAACGAGAAUGGGGGAAAUGAUGGAAGAGAUGAACCGGAUAGACACAUGUCAAGCGUGCCAUGUAAAAGAUGUGUGGUGGUUGGUAAUGGAGGCAUUUUAAAGAAUAAGACGUUAGGGGAAAAAAUCGACUCCUAUGAUGUAAUAAUAAGAAUGAAUAAUGGUCCUGUUUUAGGACACGAAGAGGAAGUUGGGAGAAGGACAACCCUCCGACUUUUUUAUCCAGAAUCCGUUUUUUCAGAUCCCAUUCACAAUGACCCUAAUACUACGGCGAUUCUCACCACUUUUAAGCCACUUGAUUUAAAAUGGCUGUGGGAAUUGUUGGCAGGUGGCAAAAUAAACAGUCACGGUUUUUGGAAGAAACCAGCCUCAAACCUGAUCUAUAAACCGUAUCAAAUCAGGAUAUUAGAUCCUUUCAUUACCAGAACAGCAGCUUAUGAACUGCUUCAUUUCCCUAAAGUGUUCCCCAAAAAUCAGAAACCCAAACAUCCGACGACAGGAAUUAUUGCCAUCACACUGGCAUUUCAUAUAUGUCAUGAAGUUCACAUAGCUGGUUUUAAAUACAAUUUUUCUGACCUCAGGAGUCCUUUGCACUAUUAUGGGAAUGCCACCAUGUCUUUGAUGAAUAAGAAUGCAUAUCACAAUGUGACCGCAGAGCAGCUCUUUUUGAAGGACAUUAUAGAAAAGAAUUAUGUAAUCAAUUUGACUCAAGAAUGACCCUGAAGACUUACGAGAUGAUGCUAACAGUAUUGGUUUUAUUUUUAUACUCCAAUUGUUAGUUUAUUUUUAAAUACGCUGGACACACUCGUCAAAGAGUAUGUAUAUUGUUUGUUGCUACCUGGUGAUUCAUAACCAGCAGUUUAAUGUCUGUGAAUAUAUUUAAUUUAUGAAAACCAAGAAAAGUUUAGUUAUCAGGGAAAUAAUUAAACUUUUGACUGCAUCAUUUUUAAAAUAAGCUAGUUUUCUGAGGUAUUUUUAAAUGUCUUUUUCUAACUAUUUUAUGUCAGGCUUUUGAAGGGAUGUAACUUCCAUCAUAGUAAGUAUGGGGAUUGGGUUUAUUGCAACCAAGUCUUAGGAGAACCUGCCAUUUUGAGAUACACAUUUGGCGACCAUAAACCCGUCUCCUGGGGAACCGGCACGUGGUUGUGCCUUGAUCAACAAACUGGAACCGCUUCAGGCUUGUGUUUAGAAAAAUGUUUAAUUCUUAUUUGUUCUACCUGAAGAACCUGAUUUGAAUCUUAAAUCAGCCCUGAUUACAUUAGGAAUAUAAAACUAUGGAAAUCUCAGUUCAUACUGGUUUAAUUAAGGCUCUUUUCUGUAAUUAAUUAAACCAAAAGGGUAUAAUGAGCAAUCUGGUAGAAUGAAGAUAGCUUUUUUAAAAUUUGAGUUACAGGACAUAGGGUAAAUGUGAAAUUAUCAGUAAACAACCAAAUAUUCAAUUACUAAACUCCGGUUGGCUCUGCAUUAUUUUAAAGAAAUAAAAGUUUAACUUUAUACAAGUAAGUGGAACUAAGCUAGCUAAGCUCAAGAAGAAGAGAACCCUUAUGCGUUAUUUUUUUGUCUGGCUUAAUUUAUUCAUUAAAUUUUGGAAGCUGAAUACCUGAAGUAAAUUAGGAGAGACGAGGAAGACAGCCGAGUAAGUAACCCUUCAGUAGAGUCAGGCUCUGUUUUGGAUUUUAAAUGGUACUUUUUCAUGAAACAAGUUUCAAUUUUUCUUAUGAUUAAAUCUAAUCUUCAAAUGGAAAGCUUAGUUGGCUGCCUUCCUUUAGAGUAGAAGUCGUCUUGGGAUCUACCAGAAAGGAACUCUAUGUUCCAAACAAGCCAGUUCUACAGAUGUGGUGAGCUAGUCUCCCUUCCCAAAUAUUAAGAAAUAAAAACAAAGGAUAUCUGGAAAGAGAUGUGGGAUAAAAGACGAAGGAAGAGAAGUGUAGGGUUAUAAAAAGGAUGGCACCCAAAGCUAUCAGCAGCGGUAGGAGUCAAAGAAUUAAUAUAUUUCGAAUAAUAAGUAUUAUUGGGAGACAUGGACGAUGGUCCUGACAACCAACCUGCCUCCCUAAAGACAGCGUGUGAAAGGAGAAGCGUUAGGUCAGGGUCAGAAACAGGAAUAGGUGAAAUACUGGAAAGCGGUGUAAGGGCUAUUUAACCUGGCCUACACUCAUUCAGGGACGAUGUUCUGUUAAUACCAGCAUACCUUUGCACUGCACUGUGGUUUCAUUCGACUGUUUGAUUACCCUGAGGUAAAAAGUUUGGUAGUGGACUAGAAUCCACAUGGGUUCAGUGUGAUUGGUGGUUCCUUCACACCCUCAGGGCCACAGGCUGCAGCUGGGCUGCUGAAGUCCCGUUUGACCUAAAGCAAAUCGGGCUUCAGAAAGGAUAAUGCUGACCACAGGAAAACGGAACGUCCAAGUCAAAAUCCUUCAGGGACAUUUUCAAGUGUUGCUGUAAGCAACUGUAACGUUGGUCAUAAAACUUCUGACUGACGUUAAAAUUGAGGAGGCUGGCAUUUAUAUAGUAUGAGAAAAGGCUACAAACCUCAAGGUUGUUUUAUUUAAGCCAAAUAAUCUGAGCAAGACACUUAUAUACAAUUAAACACAUGAAACACAUUAAAACUCUAUUUAUACAAUCUAAAUUCUAGCAACAUAUACAAAUACUGAGUAACUACAGUACAUGCCGAGGUAAGAAAAGUACAUUCUGGGAGAAUAUCACUGACACACAAGCCAUUUUAUUUCCAAUAUGUGUUUCAAUAAACGUUUUUUUCUGCCAUUCUCAGUGCCAAAAAAAAAUAAAGAGGAAGAAGAGGGAAAUACUAGUUAUAAGUUGGACUAAAUGAAAAUUGGUGCCAGAGUGGACAUAAAAAGCAUUUUAAUAACCAUCAAACCCUUAUUUAUAUUUUGCAGUUUAGGGACUUCAAGUUCAGAACUGAAAGGCAGCGCUAAUAAGAGAUGCCUGCAUUCACACAUGUGCUUUACCUAUUCACGAGUGCUUUAAUAGAACGUUCACCAUCUGUGCUUUUUGUUUCAAGCGUUUUGAAACAAAACAUGGAUUGGCUCUCCCCUGAAUAAAACUGUGCCUCAAAGUCUGUCUGAAAAGGAAAAGCAAAUGAAAAGAAAAACAACUCAAGCUUACCACAGGAGGGCAAGGAGGCCAUGGAAAUAAUUCUACUUGGGAAGCAGUGUUUUGGAAUACAGAUAGACUUGAGCAAUCAAGCAAAAUAAAUACUGGUCAUCUUUAUUCAAAUUCAGUAAAUUUCUGACAGUAUCAUAAUCUGGUGGCACAAGCCAGCAGAAGUGACGACAAUGUGAUGGGAAAGCUGACAAACUAAGGUGGUAUGGAAGAGGGGUUGUCAAAUUUAUAUGUGUCUAUCAUGAUCAACUUCGCAGGUCAUCUUGCCAGUCUCAAGGCUUUUAGAGAUGUUUUUACACUAUGUUGUUGUUGGGUGCAGUCAAGUUGAUUUUCGACUCACAGCGACUCUGUGUGACAGAGUAGAACUGCCACAUAGGGUUUUCUAGGCUGUAGUCUUUAUGGAAGCAGAUCACCAUGGCUUUCUCCCGCAGAGCCUCUGGGUGGGUUCAAACCGUCAACCUUUCGGACAGCAGCUGAGUACUUAACCAUUGCACCACCACUGUAGAGUAAUAAAUUACAGAUGAUUUCUAUUUCACCCAAUCUAAAUCUAAUUCAGGGGCCAGUCAUGAACUGUGACAAAGCAGCCGCUAGGAGGUAUCAAACACAAGUCACGACUACUAAAACAGGGUCCUUUUGCCCGGACGCUGUAAUCUGUUCCCUUAAAGCAUGACGUGACAGACUCCUCGUGCCUCUCGCCACACAGACGUAGGGCAGAAUCAGGCAGAACUGAAGAAUACAUGUUUAAUUUAUAUUCCUUGCAAUAGUUUCUGUAGAAAACGGCAAUUAAAAAUUAUUUUAUUCAACUAAAAGUUAAAAAACACUCUGAGAUUCAAAGAAAACUUUAUAUAUAAAACCAAAGACAGCCAACUCUGGCUGUUAUUUUUUCUAUUAUUUCUGAAUGAUCUUGGCUUUCAUUGUGAUAAACAUGAAUGGGUCAUAGUCACAAGCAGUCACUUAAUUCACUUUUCACAACUCGUCUAGGAAAAAUCCCAUUGCAAAUAAAUUUGGGGUGGGGUGGGGGGAAAAUCCCCUUUAUGGUGUUUCUAAAUUAAAUUUGUUCAUGUUUUCACAUAGAGAAGUAUGCUUUAAGAUAUUACUCAAGACCACUGCCAUCGAGUUGACUCCAACUCAUAGCGACCCUGUAAGACAGAGUAGGACUGCCUCACAGGAAGCAGAUGGCCAGGUCUUCCUCCCACAAAGCCACUGGGUGGGUUCGAACCACCAACCUUUAUUAAACCACCAAAAAACCAAACCUGUUGCCGUAGAGUCUAUUCUGACUCAUAGCGGCCCUAAAAGACAGAGCAGAACUGCCCCAUAAGGUUUCCAAGGAGCGCCUGGUGGAUUCAAAUUGCCGGCCUUUUGGUUAGCAGCUGUAGCUCUUAACCACUGCACCACCAGGGUUAGAGGAUCUGAAUUCAUGAGACUGAGCAAGUUGAUAAAAUCAAGCAUCAAUUUCAAAACAAGUAUUUUAUAAACACAUGAAUGGUUCUUGCCACCGAGUGCCCCAGGCAGAAUGAGCAGGGAUGAAACCAGAUCAUGUACCAUGAAGUGUUAAAGCUCUUAAGAGUGUCAAGAAGUGAAAAAUCAAUCACCCUGCUCAUUAUAAGCCAGAAGCUCCCAGCUUGUUAAUGAAAAAUGGAGAAUUCUAUAUGAUUGCCGAGAAAACAAUGAUAUCACAAAUUCUAGUUCUUUAAAAAAAUAAAUCCAGAAAGCAAUCUAGGAAUAGAAAAGGAGAAAAUCAUGAUAGUACCCACCUUUCACAAAGAGCAGAAUUUCAAGCCUUUAGAUAGUUCAAGAACAGUACCAUGCAUUACCACCAGACAGGCUUAGCGCCAUCUCUGGAGUUCACAACGUACCUGCAGCACUGGUAAUAAAUACUUUCUCUCAGUGAUUCUUAAUUUCUUUGAAGUGCAUUACAGAGAGCUUUUUCUGUAUUAAAAAUAAUGUUUUACAGUAGUAACAAACAUGAUGUUUGGAAUUUAACAGGCAAGCAGUAACUGUGCCACAGAUAUACCUUCAAAGCAAGAUGGCAAGGUUAGUAGUUUCCUGUACCUCGGUUAUCACAUUUUCCUUAACCCCUUCAGUGACAGAUAACGUGAUACAUUCUAUAUAUUACUACCACUAAUACAAAAAAGGCCAUGUGCUUUAAAACGAUGCUUUGUAAAAAGCAGCAUCACCUUCAAAGGAUUUCUUUAAAAACAUCACAUUCACCCUCCCUCCCUGCUCCUGAUACUUCCUGCGUGCUCUGUGGCACCUGGUACACCAACUCAUCUGGGGCACUUGGACCUGGCUUCCCACCUUUUGGGGUGUCAUACUGGGCCCUGGCAGAGGAGCAGCUGUCCGUCCUGGAGAGAAGGGCGUUGUAAGUUCCCACUAAAGGAGGAGGCUGGUUCCCUGUAGCUUUGAAAGUGGACGUUGAAGGCAGACCAACUGAGGCUGCAGGGUGCCCGGACAUAUCCAUGACAAUUGGGGUUGCAUACUCGGGCCCAGUAAUGGGGAGAGGUUCAGCGUAGGCAUGGUAAACCUCUUGCACUGGUGAGUUGUAAGGAUCCAGGUCAGCAUAGCCUGCUUCCUUCCCUUCUUCUGGUUUAAAGGUAGAUCUCUGAUGAAGUGUGCCAACUAUUCCUCCCACAAGCGGUUGUGCAUACUCUGCAGAUAUCACAAAACACGAGAGAAGGUUAUCUUACUAACACACAGAUCACACAACUAAGGUGGUAGCUGCGGGCUUACACCAAAAGCAAACACUUCUUUACAGCACUGUUCUUGCUAUCAACACAGACGCUAUGGAUUUCCUAACUGCAAGAACCAACUUCAGAAAUUAAAAUUAUGUCAUCUAGUAUAUGCCAGGAGCUCUGGUGGCACGGUGGCUAAGAGCUCGGCUGCUUACCAACAGGUCAGCAGUUCAAAUCCACGGGGCACUCUUUGGAAACCCUAUGAGGCAGUUCUACUCUGCCCUACAGGGUCACUCUGAGUCGGAAUCGACUUGACAGCAACGGACAGUAUAUGCUAGAAAGCCUCAGUUGUGUAACUUUGCAUAAAGACCUUGUAUAUGUUCUUCAGGUUUACAGACAGGUUUUCAUUAGAAGAGAAAUAUUCUAUUAUUGGAAUAAUCUUAGUCUUGGAAAAAUCAGUUUUUUUUUUUUUUUUUCAAAUAUUAGGAAAUGUUUAAAAUAAGUAAGUCCUAGGCUAAUAAGGUAAAUAGUAAGGAACAGCCACUGUAUGUCUCUCCUGUUCUCUUCCUAACUUCCUCAAAUAAAACUAAAACAGAAAAACACAGGUGAACAUCAAAACGCUUGGAGUUUUCACAAACGAAUGCUCCAACUUUGUGGACAGAACAUCCAAGAUGCAGAAAUGACUCACUCAAGUUAUCUUUUUAAAAAGUGCUUCCACUUUUAGAAAUUAGCUCAUCUCUUAAACAUGAAAAGGAAAAAGUAAACUCCAACACACUUCACAGCAGGCACAGCCUCCCCGGCCCGUGCCCGAGGUAGUGACGGCUCACCUGCGGCGUCGGUCUGCAGCACCGUGGUGACUUCUCUCGGGCUCAAGUGAUUAACUUCGCUACUGCUGUAGUGAACUGGGGUUUCCUCGUGUUCCACUGAUUUGGCAGGGAGAAACUGCUUCAUUCCUUUCCACCAUCCUUUAUGGGGGUUGCAAGAACAAAAAGGCCAGGAACUAAAAACCUAUGUCUCAUCAAGGGAGAGAACCUGUUGCAUUUAAGCCACUUCUCUAACGAACAAAUAUCUGGGACAAAGUAGCCUUCACGUUCAAGUUUAUUUUCUGCUUUGAUGGAAGAGUAUCUAGUGCAAAGCAGAACAUGGUAGAAAUCUCUAUCAAAAGGAUAGGGAGAAGACAAUCCUGCUAUUAAGCUGCAGCCAGAUACACUUGUCUGUGUAGGGGUAGUUUCUAAUAAGUUUUCCUCAAAACAUACUGAGUUUCACACUGGGGGACUAGCAGCCCCCAUGACCAAGACCACUGCCCAUGUCUACCCUGGCCCCAGCAGAGAAGUCUCUUUGCUCCCGACCAGAGUUCCAGAAAUGAGGCUGGGAAGUGGGAGGCCUGUGCUGGCUCUGCUGCAUUUGUAGCAACUACCACCUGCCAGGGAGUAGGAAUUCAGAAGAUGCCAACCAGCCACGGAGAGAUGGCAGCCCUCACGGAUUCCAAACCUGCUGCCCUCCACCUGGUAAAGAACCACAGCAAAGGGGCCACAAUCGUUGUUUCUCACGCAGUGUUCACCUACAUCAGAACGCUGGUCUCCUUCGGAGAACCAGAUACACAGGAGAAAACCAGACACAUUUCCCAAAAGUAAAAAGAACAGAAUGUGUGCAGUCAGAAAUAAAUUACUCUCCACUGCGUCACUUAUUAACUAGGAGAGAUUUUGCAGAAGGGUGAAAAUGGUCAGAACAGAGGAGGAACGCCACUUUUCCAAAGGUGUUGGGAGUUCGAAUGGGCCUAAGAAUGACUUUCUUUCACUACUGCCACCUGGAGGGCAGGGUGACGCUUCCCUCUGAUGCAAAAAACAUAGAAGUUACCUGCCCGGUCCCAGUAAGAUAAUAUCCACGAGGAUGGAAAGAUCAACGGCUGACAUUCACUGGGGCUAAAUGCCAGAUGCUGCACGAUGGGCCUGAUCUGCCGCAUCUUAUUUACCUGCCUGACGAUUUUAUCGGAAAGACAGGAUGACACUAUAGCAGAGUAGAGGACAAUCAAUAACAUCAGCCUUCUGAGAAGUUCAAUGGGUCAGGAACCAAGCCUCAGAGGAAUCCAGCUCUGGAAGAAAAGACUUUAAGAAAAUUUUUCAGUCCUGAGAUUCUAAGAUUCUACAGUCCAAUUUUAAGAUGAACAAUACUUGUAAACGACUGUUCUUCCAUCCAGGGAUGUGGUCUGAGAUUCCGCCCAAACACAUGCCUUCUGGAACCUGCAAACAUAUUUACCCACAGGCAAUAUUCAUCAGUCAAACGGAGACACACUGUCCCCUCCCGGGAACACACUCCUGCAGGUAAGCAGAUGACUCAACUCGCUCCCUCACCUCGGUCACAGUUUUGUUCCCAGGCACACUUGCCAUGAGGCCCUCCCUGACUAUUUAAAAUGUCAGAGCAGGGUCUCCUGCAUUCCCUGCAGUUUUUUCCUACGUCUUUUUUUUUUUUUUUAUCCUACCGACCCGACCAUGAAGAGCACACUGUAAACAAUUACUGACUUAUUCAUUUGGCUCUUGUCAACCUCUCACCACCAGGACACAAGCUCCAGGAGGGCACUAUGGAAUUUCUAGCACCAGCAUGGUGCCUGGCAAAUACAAGGCACUCAAUGAAUACUUUCUAUUGAAUGCAUUAAUUACUUCUGACAAAUUGCUAAGGAACCUUCCUCCUUCCUUACAUGAUCAUUGUUCGAUUACUAUAAAAACCUUCAAUUUAUUCUAUUCAUUACAUGAUUAAGGACUUCCCUUACCUCACAGUGCUGUUGUGGUGGCUAAGUGAGUAAGUACAAAGAAAAAAAAAAAAAAGCAACUGGCAUAGUGCCUGG